rnacentral:rRNA from 1 species
CCUACGGGCGGCAGCAGUGGGGGAUAUUGCACAAUGGGGGGAACCCUGAUGCAGCGACGCCGCGUGGGUGAAGGAGUAUUUCGGUAUGUAAAGCCCUAUCGGCAGGGAAGAAUUUAGACGGUACCUGACUAAGACGCCCCGGCUAACUACGUGCCAGCAGCCGCGGUAAUACGUAGGGGGCAAGCGUUAUCCGGAUUCACUGGGUGUAAAGGGAGCGUAGACGGCCAGGCAAGCCUGGAGUGAAAGCCCGGGGCCCAACCCCGGGACUGCUCUGGGAACUGUCCGGCUGGAGUGCGGGAGGGGCAGGCGGAAUUCCUGGUGUAGCAGUGAAAUGCGUAGAUAUCAGGAGGAACACCGGCGGCGAAGGCGGACUGCUGGACCGCGACUGACGUUGAGGCUCGAAAGCGUGGGGAGCGAACAGGAUUAGAUACCCGAGUAGUC